rnacentral:rRNA from 1 species
UUUUAAAGAGAGUUUGAUCCUGGCUCAGGACGAACGCUGGCGGCGUGCCUAAUACAUGCAAGUCGAACGAACGGAG